GAUGAACGCUAGCGGCAGGCCUAAUACAUGCAAGUCGAGGGGCAGCGCGGUAGCAAUACUGGCGGCGACCGGCGCACGGGUGCGUAACACGUAUGCAACCUACCUUCAACUGGAGGAUAGCCCGGGGAAACUCGGAUUAAUACUCCAUAACACAGGGAUCCCGCAUGGGAAUAUUGUUAAAGCUACGGCGGUUGAAGAUGGGCAUGCGUUCGAUUAGCUAGUUGGUGUAGGUAACGGCUCACCAAGGCUACGAUCGAUAGGGGGUCUGAGAGGAUGAUCCCCCACACUGGUACUGAGAUACGGACCAGACUCCUACGGGAGCAGCAGUAGGGAAUAUUGGUCAAUGGGCGCAAGCCUGAACCAGCCAUGCCGCGUGCAGGAAGAAGGCCCUCUGGGUUGUAAACUGCUUUUGAUAGGGAACAAAUGCCACUUGCGAGUGGAGCUGAGUGUACCUAUAGAAUAAGCACCGGCUAACUCCGUGCCAGCAGCCGAC
rnacentral:rRNA from 1 species